AACGAACGCUGGCGGCAUGCCUAACACAUGCAAGUCGAACGAGACCUCCGGGUCUAGUGGCGCACGGGUGCGUAACGCGUGGGAACCUGCCCUUAGGUUCGGAAUAACUCCCCGAAAGGGGUGCUAAUACCGGAUAAUGUCUUCGGACCAAAGAUUUAUCGCCUUUGGAUGGGCCCGCGUUGGAUUAGCUAGUUGGUAGGGUAAAAGCCUACCAAGGCGACGAUCCAUAGCUGGGCUGAGAGGAUGGUCAGCCACACUGGGACUGAGACACGGCCCAGACUCCUACGGGAGGCAGCAGUGGGGAAUAUAGGACAGUGGGCGGAGGCAUGAUCCAGCAAUGCCGCGUGAGUGAUGAAGGCCUUAGGGUUGUAAAGCUCUUUUACCCGGGAUGAUAAUGACAGUACCGGGAGAAUAAGCUCCGGCUAACUCCGUG
rnacentral:rRNA from 1 species